AUUUCUGUUUUCAUGCAGAUACACACAGCACAGCUAGUUUCAAAAUUAAACCACAAUGAAAACUGUCACUACUGACAAGGAACUAUGCAAAGACCUUCGGUCUCAGGCCCUUGCUCACUCAGGAGUACCUUGAGACCUGUUUCUUCCUGUUCAGCUGCAGUCACGGUUCUAACCUGGUUCUUCUCACGGCUGGUAUCCUCUGACCUUUUAUGUCUUGGCAAUGACUUCCAUGCAUUUUGGCAGUGACUGCCUGAAUCUCUGAUUCAACCCUGAUCGCAGCCUCUCGGGCUUUCUCGCUCCUUUAAUUCUUUCCGCGGAUGGCCACGGCUUUUGCCGCCUGUACCCUUCCUGGAGCAACCCGUGCUUUUGAAAAAUGACCAUGCCGAAGGGGAACUAACACUCCCAGCCUGGUGCGGGUCUUGUCAAUCUGAUUUUUAAAUGAUGGAGGAGGAGGUUUGAGGACAAAGCUCAUGGUGGCAUUACCACUAUCAGGGACGCUGCAAAGAUCAAGUGAAAAGGGGAAAAGGCUCUUCUCAAUGUGAGCACAUUCACAGGCUCUGAGAACAGAGAGGUAUUUAAAGUGAACUGGAACAAACCUGCAACAUCCGGUGCGUUCUGCCUUCAAAAAUAGCUGCCAGUUAGAAAGGGUUAUUUACAUAUUGAUUUCAUGCUAACUUUGUAAUGGAAUGUGCUGCCUGCCUGCCUGCCUGAGACCUAACAACUGUCAUCAUAAUUUUUUCUAAAAAUACAGUCAGAGAAAAACACUCAUUGAACCCUCCACUGGAAAGUAGCUGCAAAAGACCCCCUGAUCCCAAACCUGCUUGACAGACCACAGCCAAGGGCAGGGACACUCAACAACUGUAAACGAGGAACAUUUCACAGCGGCAGCUGGCCCCUCUCUUCUUCCAACCAGCCAAUAUUUUUUGUCUUUCUAGAAAACCUGUCUUGUUCAAAGGCUGGAACUUACCAUUGGCUGUCCUGGUCCUCAGGCCUUCGGAGUCAGACUGGAACUACACCAUCGGCUUUCCAGGGUCCCCAGCUUGCCAACUGCAGACCUUGGAAUCAGCCUCAUAAUUGCAAAAACCAAUUUCUUAUCCAAAUAUUAGUAUAUAUAUGUAAUUUCUUACAAGAAAUUUAAGUAAACUUCAUAUGUAUAAUA
ensembl:lncRNA LINC01685 long intergenic non-protein coding RNA 1685